CAAGUAAGUCAGAUAAUCGCAAGUAUUAAUUAUUUUUAAUACUUGAGGAAAGUCGGAGCUCCAUAGAGCAAAGGUGCUAGGUAACGCCUAGUGGAAGCGAUUCUAAGGAUAGUGCAACAGAAAUAAACCGCCAUAUUUAUAUGGUAAGGAUGGAAAGGCGAGGUAAGAGCUCACCAGCGGCUAGGCGACUAGUCGGCUAUGUAAACCCCACCUGGAGCAAGACCAAGAUAGGAUUAAAGAGUGCUGCUCGUACUCUCCGGUAGGUAGGUUGCUUGAGCUUAUCGGCGACGAUAAGCCUAGAAAGAUGAUUAUCGAAUACAGAACUCCGCUUAUAGAUUUGCUUGAACU
rnacentral:RNase_P_RNA from 1 species